rnacentral:rRNA from 1 species
UGAGGAAUAUUGCGCAAUGGGGGCAACCCUGACGCAGCGACGCCGCGUGAGUGAGGAAGGCCUUCGGGUCGUAAAGCUCUGUCAAAGGGAAAGAAGUGCAUGGUGGCUAAUACCUGCCAUGUUUGACGGUACCCUUAAAGGAAGCACCGGCUAACUCCGUGCCAGCAGCCGCGGUAAUACGGAGGGUGCAAGCGUUGUGCGGAAUCACUGGGCGUAAAGGGCGCGUAGGCGGUUUGAUAAGUCAGAGGUGAAAGCCCACGGCUUAACUGGGGAAGUGCAUUUGAAACGGUCAGACGUGAGUAUCAGAGGGGAAAGUGGAAUUCCCGGUGUAGAGGUGAAAUUCGUAGAUAUCGGGAGGAAUACCGGUGGCGAAGGCGACUUUCUGGCUGAAUACUGACGCUGAGGCGCGAAAGCGUGGGGAGCAAACA